rnacentral:lncRNA from 1 species
CAUUGACAAAACAAACAUGAUCAAACAUAAUGAAAACUCGACAAUAUGAGAUAUGAAGACAGUUAUUGUUCUCCUUUCCUUAGUUCUAAUGACUCUUUAAUAAAAGAAACAACUGCUUUUACAUCAUUUGGUGUUGAUGGAUUUAGUAUAAUCACGAGUUUAUCAGUAAAAUUAAGUGUAUUAAAAUUUACAUAUAUUUGUAUAUAAUAUUUUAGAAAGAUUUCUCUUUUAUUUUUAUUUAUUUUACAGUUAAAGAAAAAAAUGAAAUUCAUCGUCAUUUUACAUUUUCUUUCAUUUCGUGGUGUUUUGGUAUAUCGUCAUGUUUCUAUUAAGAGACAAUGAUCGCUUAUUCUAAAUUUGGUUAACAUUUUUCUUUGCUUGGGUGCAAUAGGUAGUAUUUCAUUUGGUUAUUUAUUUUAUCAUCAAUAAGAGUUUGAUAAUAGUUCAUAUAGCUCUUUUUUAAUUGGGUUUUUAAUAUUUUAGUGUUUUAAAGUUUUAGUUUCCUCAUGAUAAUAAGUAGACGGACAACUUAUAUAUCACUUCAUCACCGUCCAACAUUGAUGGUCUGGAGAGGGGAUUUGUUUUUUUCCCUUUUAAUUGUAUAGAUAAUUUCCCUCUCUUCUAUAUAAUUUUGCCCAUGCAUUAUUAUUCUCUAUUCUUUAUUUUUUUUUUACUUUAUAUUUCUUCUAUUAUUGACUGUAAACCGCAUACAGACCCACAGCUAUGAAGUUUGUAAUAGUAUACGAACAAGAUGUCCACAAGUAUACCUUUCUUAUA